rnacentral:rRNA from 1 species
CAAUAGCGUAUAUUAAAGUUGUUGCAGUUAAAAAGCUCGUAGUUGGAUUUGUGGCGUACGGUGGGUUCCGGGCACUUGUUGUCUGAGUAACUUGCUGUUGCCAUCCUUGGGUGGAACCUGUGUGGCAUUAGGUUGUCGUGCAGGGGAUGCCCAUCAUUUACUGUGAAAAAAUUAGAGUGUUCAAAGCAGGCUUAUGCCGUUGAAUAUAUUAGCAUGGAAUAAUGAGAUAGGACUUUUUUGCUAUUUUGUUGGUUUGCGCAAAGAGGUAAUGAUUAAUAGGGACAGUUGGGGGUAUUCGUAUUCCAUUGUCAGAGGUGAAAUUCUUGGAUUUUUGAAAGACGAACUACUGCGAAAGCAUUUACCAAGGAUGUUUUCAUUAA